rnacentral:rRNA from 1 species
UACGGAGGUGGCUAGCGUUGUCCGGAAUCACUGGGCGUAAAGAGCGCGUAGGCGGCUUGCCAGGUCCGAUGUGAAAACCCGGGGCUUAACUCCGGGCCUGCAUCGGAAACCGGCUUGCUAGAGUCUGGGAGAGGAGAGUGGAAUUCCUGGUGUAGCGGUGAAAUGCGUAGAUAUCAGGAGGAACACCGGUAGCGAAGGCGGCUCUCUGGAACAGUACUGACGCUGAGGCGCGAAAGCUAGGGGAGCGAACAGG